ensembl:snoRNA SNORD116 Small nucleolar RNA SNORD116
GGAUCAGUGGUGAUGUGCAUAAAUUCAUUCCUUGGAAAGCCGAACAAAAUGACUGAAAACGCUACACCAUCUUUCUCAUCAAACAGAGAUCC